rnacentral:lncRNA from 1 species
CUGUACAAACUGACUGUUCUGGUUGUGUGCAACUUGGCGUGGAAUGUGUAAUAUCUACCCAAUAAUUAAGAGGCUUAUUAAGAAUAACAAUGGUAAUGCUUUUCCUUUUAUAUAAAUUGCUUUUUUUAGUACAAAUGUAAUACAUGCUCAUUAGAGAGAAAUUUGGAAGGCACCAAAAAUCACAGAGAAAUAUCAUUAUUGCACCUAAUCCCACCGCCAAGAUAAAAACGCUAGUGCCAUCUUGCGUAUUUUCCUAUAUUUUUCUUUUAAUCUAACUUGUGUCUUUAUAUUUACAUUGGGUUUAUCAUUGUGUUUUUUGGGGUUUUUUUGUUUUUGUUUUUUGAUUUAAGUUUCUUGUAGAAAGCAUAUAGUUUGCUUGUUUAUAUCCAAUUUCACAAUUUAUGUCUUUUUUAUUGUGAUCUUUUGAUCACUUAUAUUUUAUCAGUUACUGCUAUGGUUAGGUUUAAAUCAAACAUCUUGUUAUUAAUUUUCUUUAUGUAUCUUCUAUUAUUUUUAUUCCCUUUUAACAUCUUUUGCCUUUAUUUACACUUUAACUGUUAUUUACUUCCACUUUAAAUUCCAUAUUCUCCUAUUAGCUUCCCGAUUUUUAGAUGGGUGAUUUAAGAUUUAUAGUCUAUAAUUUGAAUUCAUUGCAGCCUACUAUGAAGUCAUAAUGUACUACUCCAUGUAUAGUACAGGAAACUAAUAGGAAUAGAUCUCCAAUGUUUCCUGCCCAACUUUUAUACUCUUGCUGUCACACAUUUUAUUUCUAUGUUUUAAGCCUAAAUCUCACAAUAAUUGUUUUUCUUCCUUAAACGGUCUUUUAUCUUUUAAAGAUAUUUAAGAAAUAAUAAUCAUUUUAUAAUUCUCCCACGUAUUUAUUAUUUCUUAUAUUCUUUAAUCCUUUCUGUAGACUAGAGUUCCAGUUGCUUUUAUUUUCU